AGCUUCAAAGCCUGCCAUUGGCUGGCUAGGCAUACUGUGCAAUGCUGACGCAUGAAGGCUGGCAGAGGAGUGACAGUUGGGAAGAGCUACGCAAAUAUAUUACUGGCCUGAUGGUCCACUGGAGGGAAAGACUAUUUCAAGGCUGAGUGACAACUAUAACAUACCCUGUCAGAAGAAAAAUAAAUCUCCCUGAGUCUACAUUCAGGCAUCUGAAGAACAUUGCAGAAAAUACUGCAGAGGAAGUAGAUUAGGAAUUGAGCUAUUUUACUAUGAGUUUCAAAUAUCAGAUCUAGGGAUGUUUGGCCUGUCUGAUCUCCUUAAUUCUCCAGCAGGUCUCAAUAAAUUCAUGAAGAAAUGACUAGAAGAAAUCUGUGGGUUAUUGGUUGAUCCAGUUGCAGGGGGCUUUUCUAUAUAUCAGAGACUACAGUGUUCAAACACAAGAGAAAGAGGCUGAUCUGAGAUGACCUCAUGGGCUAGUCAUUAGUGAGGAGUUCCUGGACCAAUUUAAUUGGCAUGUCCCUGGAAGUUAUAUUUAUUUGCCUUAUAAUAUUUGGUGGUUCCCAAGUAAUCUAAAACCCCAGGGCAAAAAGUCACAUGGAUAGCACAACCACAAUACAAAAAGAAGUUUCUAAUAAAACAACAUUACAUAUUAAUUGCCCAAAGAGUACCAUAAACAGU
rnacentral:lncRNA from 1 species